AGACAGAGGAGGCGAGCGUUGCUCGGAAUCACUGGGCUUAAAGCGGGUGUAGGCGGCCGCGCAAGUGUCGUGUGAAAGCCCACGGCUCAACCGUGGAACAGCACGGCAAACUGCGUGGCUUGAGGUCGGCAGAGGUGGCUGGAACUCUCGGUGGGGCGGUGAAAUGCGUAGAUAUCGAGAGGAACGCCGGAGGCGAAAGCGGGCCACUGGGCCGGUUCUGACGCUGAGACCCGAAAGCGUGGGGAGCAAACAGGAUUAGAAACCCUAGUAGUCC
rnacentral:rRNA from 1 species